rnacentral:lncRNA from 1 species
AAGAAGUCAUUUGUAUCAGCAAGAAUAUCAUCUUUGACUAUUCCCAGUUCUUAGUGAAGAAUUCCACAGGGAAUCCAUCCACUCCAGGUGCUUUAUCCUUAGCCAUCUCCAUUAUUGCUUCUGCGAUCUCUCUCAUUGUAACCUCCUGUAUCAACAUUCUUUGUUGUGAUAGAGUUAAACAGGUUCCCUCCUUGAUGAUAGCCGUGUUUACACAUGGUAAUUCCCCAGCACAAUUUCCCAUCAAUGAUUGGAAAACACUGAUAAAAUCAUGUUCCACUGCCUUGGGAUCUGUCAGUUUUAAACCUGUAUCAGUUUAUAUGGAGGUUAUGCUGUGCUGACUGGUUCUGAUUUUCCACUGAGCAUAGAAGUACUUUAUAUUGGCAUCACCACAAUCGAUCCAGCAAGCUUUGGAUUUCUGUCUCAGUAUUUGUUCCUCCACAAUAAUCCAUUUCUGGAUUUCUUCAAGUGCUGCUCUUUCCUCAUUAAACAGAGUUUGCAGUAAUGGAGAUUGUUGCAACUGGUUUUGGAUAAUUUCUAGUUUCUCUCUAGCCUGUACGCACUUUUGCCUAUAUGAAGCCAUAUAAGCAUUAAUCUCCUUUAGCCGUUGUUUCAUACUCUUUAAUUUACUCCAAAUCUGCUGCAUAGGUUCACCCACAAAAUUCUGUCUCCAGACAUGCUGUACAAUAUUUUGGAAUUGAGGGGAUUCCAUAACAUUGAUAAACGAUCUGAAAGGCUUACCCACAAAAUUCUGUCUCCAGACAUGCUGUACAAUAUUUUGGAACUGAGAGGGAUUCCGUAACAUUGAUAAACGAUCUGAAAGGCUUUGGAUGAAGUAACUUCUGGCCAUCACAUUUGAUAAGGAUAGGAGAGUGGUUAGAUAUUGAUGGGUUCAUAAAGUCAGCUUCAAUGUGCCCAUACUGUUGUAUCCACUGAUAGUUACCUAAUGCCCAAUCAAUCUUACUAUAUACCCUUGAUGAAACAUUCUGCUUGUUUGUCCAAUUGAAAUGCCAUCCUUUUGCCCUUAGAGGAGUAAGGUGUAAGUCAUCAAUGACACUUCUGAAACCUUUAACUUCAGCAUCAGUUACAGGUGACCUAAUUCCAUCUUCAGUACUUAAGACAUUGUUAAAGUCACCACUCAGCAGCCAAUUAUCCUGGCCAGAUAUAUGUAUUUGCCUCAGAUCACUCCACAACUAAUCUCUUUGGUUGCCAUCAUUCUGAGCAUAAAUGACACAGAAGUGAGUUUUGAAUUGACUGUUGGAAUCUUUAAUGAAGCACUAAAUGAAUUGAUCAGUUACUUGGGAAACUUGAAGAUGGAUAUGAGGUUUCCAAAGAAGCCAGAUUCUCCAUUGAGAGAACUUUUAGUAAUGUGAGGAUUUAAAGAUCCACAUAUGAUAUGGGGUAUGUUGUUAUGCUAUCUUAAACCGUUCCGUUGAUAGCUACUAUAUGAAAAUUUUCAAAGUCUGCUUCCU